UGAUGUAGCAGGUCCAAUUCGUAGCACUGUGAGUCAUAGACAGGCUGGAUGUUUGAGAGAGGACAAUAACACAGGUUGACUUGAACAGACAAAGACGGAGAGCUGAAAGCAAAUACAUUGAGAUUUCAGUGUAUGGUCAUGGAUCUGACCCUAUAUUUAAAAGUAUGUGGUUGUGCACCUUUAAAUGCCCAUAUAGUGGGUGGACAUAAUGCCACAGGAAGGCCCUGACCAUGGCAGGUUAUCUUCCAAAGCCCUAUUUAUGGUGGACAUUUCUGUGGAGGAACCCUCAACAACAAAUGAUGUCUACAGCACACUUUUUUAAAAGGACUACCAUCAACAGUGCAUGUGGGGAAGGAGACUCUUGAGGGUUCUAAUCCCCAUCAGGUUGCCAGAGCUGUUACACACCUGGUCUGUCAAAGAACUACAACAGUGUCAUCACUGACAGUGACAACGCCCUUUGACAUCUGAAGUCAUCAAUCAUGUGUCUGGCUACUAAGGACAGCACUUUUACUAAACCAUAUAUCAAGUCAAGUUUAUUUUUAUAGUGCUUUUAACAAUAGACAUUGUCACAAAGCAGCCUGACAGAAUUUGAAUGACUUUAAACAUGCGCUAAUUUUAUCGCUAAUCUGCUAAUAUAUACAUGCAAACACAAAUAUAUAGUCAUGUACAUUGAUGAAUAAGCAUGGCAUAAAUCUUUCAUAAAGCAAUACUGGAUAAUUUAUGAAAGGCUUGUAUAAAACUUGUAAGAUGACAAAUGACUUGUAAGCUUUUAUGUCAUGACAGAAUAAUAUUUACUUAUAUAUUAUACACACACACGGGGGUCAGUCAAAAAGUUCAAAGACAGAUGUUAUAAUUUCAAAAGGAAUUCAAAAGAAUUCAAAAAAGGAAUACAAAGAAGGAAUUCUCCAAUGGAAACAUCACUUAAGGAAGUGUUUAGACUUAAAUGGAGGAUAUGUAGAAAAAUAUCUUUGUUAUUUUCAUAAAUAAAGUUUUUUUUUUUCAUUUGACUUAGAACUUUUUGACUUACCCUCAUGUGUAAAGUAAGUAAGUAGCCUACCGUAAGUUAAUUUUAUUUAUAUAGCACUUUUCACAGAUAAAAAUCACAAAGUGUUUCACAGAUAAAACACAAUAAAACACGGUGAUUCACAGAUAAAACACAAUAAAAUAAAACACAAGACACUA